rnacentral:rRNA from 1 species
UGGGGAUUAUUGGACAAUGGGCGAAAGCCUGAUCCAGCCAUGCCGCGUGUGUGAAGAAGGCCUUUUGGUUGUAAAGCACUUUAAGCGAGGAGGAGGCUACUUAGAUUAAUACUCUAGGAGAGUGGACGUUACUCGCAGAAUAAGCACCGGCUAACUCUGUGCCAGCAGCCGCGGUAAUACAGAGGGUGCGAGCGUUAAUCGGAUUUACUGGGCGUAAAGCGUGCGUAGGCGGCUUUUUAAGUCGGAUGUGACAUACCUGAGCGUAACUUAGCAGUUGCAUUCGAUACUGGGAAGCUAGAGUAUGGGAGAGGAUGGUAGAAUUCCAGGUGUAGCGGUGAGAUGCGUAGAGAUCUGGAGGAAUACCGAUGGCGAAGGCAGCCAUCUGGCCUAGUACUGACGCUGAGGUACGAAAGCAUGGGGAGCAAACAGG